rnacentral:lncRNA from 1 species
AUGUAAACCAGCAGGCAGAUGAAUUCAGGGAUAUGCUGAGGAGAUGUGAAUAAGGAAGUGGGCCGGGACUGGAGAGAGGAACUGAAGCAGGCACCACAGAAGAAUGCUGCUUACCCACCUAUUCUUUAUGGCUUGCUCAGCCUGCUUUCUCCUAAAAAGCCAGGUCUGUCUGUCUAGGAUGGCAUUUGACACAGUGUGCUGGAUUUUCC